rnacentral:lncRNA from 1 species
ACAUGGCUGUAUUGUAUGAAAUGGUUGAUCAAUUAUUGUUUGAAAAAUUUUAACUUUUAUAUUGGAUGGAUUGCUCUCUAGUCUGACUAUAAUUCUAACUUAGUUAUCGGGGCUAAUUAUUGGCUACACAUGAUUUAGAAGCAAGUUUUCUUUUGAACCUAGCUUGGCAGAGCUAAUCAUUGGCACAUAAUGUGAUGGGUAUGUUUUUUGAGUGACUCAGACUAGUUUCUUUGCGGG